CCUCCAUUUCUUGGCAUACUUGAGGUUGUUUAGUACUCGUGUAUGUAAUGUACGGAGGAAAAUAAAAAUGCAGUGCUAUGUCUUCGGUGCCGGUGUGUGAUGUAUCAUCUGCCGGUUCUAUCCUCAAUCGCUGCGACAUUC